AACUAAAUAUUGCACCUGAAAUCGCCCACUUUCCCAAUAAUCACACAAAUGAUCCCAAUCAGUCUAGUGAAGACUUCUUUUGGCUUAUUUGCUUUCCUAUGAGCCAUUGGUUGUUCUAGAUACUCCUUUUAGUAUGCGUGUAGCUCAUAUCAAAACUCCUUAAAGGAAGUGGCCACUGAUUUCUCCAGGAACUCGUUAAGAGAUGAAUAUUUACGCUUGAGUGGUGCCACUGCAAGUGACAGAAGAAUAUGAUGUCAAAAAAAAAAAAAAGAAAGAAAAACACACACACACACACACACAGACAAACACAUUGACAAGAACUAAAUAAUUCAAUCAUAGAAACCUGUCUCUGUGGGCACAAUGGUUGGUGUAGGGAGGGAGAUAGGAGCAGGGUGCAUGCUAGGUGUAGUAACCGGCUGUGUGAUAGGAACAGUCAUAGGUAUUCGGAGUGGUGGCUUCUUCUUUGGUGGCAUUGGUAUAACCACUUCGUUUCAAAACAAAAUUAAGUAAAAAGAAUAUUAUAAUGCAUAUACAAAAGUCUUGCAACCAAUCACAUUGACAACUAAAUUAUCAAGCAGGAUUAACUAAAACAUUGCUAGCAAUCUAUCUGCUGAAUAAAAAUACUUCUUAUCAAUUUUUUGGUAACCAAACAGGGGCUAAUUAU
rnacentral:lncRNA from 1 species